GGAUUGGUCUGAGAGCUGAAGAUGGGAAAUGGAAGUGGGUCAAUGGAAGUGUUCUGACUGAAAACUCCUGGAUACAACAACCUGCUACCAACGGUCAGUGUGUAAUUUCUGUAGAGAAAGAAGGAUGGAAAUCAGUGAGCUGUGGUGCCAGAAACAGAUGGAUCUGCAAAAAGAAGGCUUUAUCUCUUUAAACACUGCAGUCAUACUUGAGAAGGUUACUGGGGACUCUGUAAAGAUUCAUUACAUGGAAGAUGAUAUCAA